CGGACCUCAGAUCGGACAAGACCACCCGCUGAGUU
rnacentral:rRNA from 1 species